UACGGAGGGUGCAAGCGUUAUCCGGAUUCACUGGGUUUAAAGGGUGCGUAGGCGGAUAGGUAAGUCCGUGGUGAAAUCCUGCAGCUUAACUGCAGAACUGCCAUGGAUACUAUCUAUCUUGAAUGUCGUGGAGGUUAGCGGAAUAUGUCAUGUAGCGGUGAAAUGCUUAGAUAUGACAUAGAACACCCAUUGCGAAGGCAGCUAACUACGCGAUAAUUGACGCUGAUGCACGAAAGCGUGGGGAUCAAAACAGG
rnacentral:rRNA from 1 species